UCCGUAGGCGGGCGACUAAGUCAGAGGUGAAAUCCCACAGCUUAACUGUGGAACUGCCUUUGAUACUGGUUGUCUUGAGUUAUAGUGAAGUAGAUAGAAUAUGUAGUGUAGCGGUGAAAUGCUUAGAUAUUACAUAGAAUACCGAUUGCGAAGGCAGUCUACUAACUAUAUACUGACGCUAAUGGACGAAAGCGUGGGGAGCAAACAGGAUUAGAUACCCUGGUAGUCC
rnacentral:rRNA from 1 species